UCCUCUGCCUGCGAGCUGGAGGUUACCUCUAACUUGUAGGUUUGGGAAAAGAUGGAAACGAAACCCCAAGAAGCCGCGUGAGUGGAAUGGAACCCAAAGGCAAACUUCACAAUGAGUAGGAAAUGCCGCCGGUCUAAUGGUGGUUGGGCGGAUCGUCGCCCGCAUCGCGUCUUGGUUGCCCAGACGUCCAGCGUAGCAAUGGGAGGGUCGGAACUCAGAGUCCGAGGUGUGCCCACCACGCCAUCGGCUCCAGAAUCAAGUUUACAGUCGCCACCGCCUUAAAACUUCAGGGCUCAGCCCUCUUAGCAAUGCCACAAGAGUCUGCUGGACCGGGUGGGAAAGAGGAAGGCCCGGCUGCCGCCUUGGCCUCCCGGUAGUUUCCUGCUCGGGGUACACCACCGAGCAGUAAAAUCAAGAUAUGUGUUCUAGUUAGCGUUUCUGUUGCUUUGAUAAAACUGACCAAAGCAGUUUGGAAGAGGAAGUGUUUAUUGGGCUUAUCACCAUCGUUUCGGGAAGACAUGGAAGGAACUCAUAGACUAACCAUAGACUAACGCUGCCUCCUGGCUUGGGCUCAGCUGUCCUUGUGCUCAGUUCACGCCAGCGUGAGGUUGCACAGGCCACAAGGGAUGAGCCCUACUAGAUCAAUUAAUUAGCAAGCAAUCCCUCUUCCCAAGUGACUACGAGGACAGUAUAAAAUUCUUAGUUGGUUCACAAGCUAAUAAGGGUUUCCUAAGGCUUCAUCUAUCCUUAGUUUGCAGCAGUUCCCAACCCCGAUAAACCCAUAUAAAACCACACAAUCCAGUUACUAUAAUUAUAAGCUAUGAGCCUAGACUGGGCUGCUCUAGCACUGUACUAACUUAUUCCCCAGCUUCGAGACCCUUUGCUACUUGCAGUUUCUCCUGGCCAUGUGGUUCUCCUCUUCCUCUUCUUCAGUCCUCUCCCCUUCCCUUCUCUUCCUCUCUACCAGUCCCUACUCUCCAAGACCUCCCACCUCUCCCCUCCCCUGCCCAAUUACAUCCUCUAGCCUUUAUUGACCAGUUAAAAUGGGGAGGAGGACGCCCUCCCCUUUCCCUCAUCCCAGGUUCCUUUUCGGGUUAACCCUUUAGCUCCUGACAUUCUCUCCCUUUUCUACCAUCCACUCCCACUACAAAUGUUUUUUUAAGAGAGCAUACAGAGCCGAAUACAGUAGAAUAAUAAUCAUGCAAAAAUACAACCCGGUGUGGUAGCUCACACAUUAUAUUCCAGUACAGGGAGGCAGAAGCAGAUGGAGCACUAUGAGUUUGAGUUUGAGACCAGCCUGGUCUACACAGUGAGUUCCAGACUAAGCAGAAUUCUAUAGCAGAAUUCUAUAGUAAGACCCUGUUAAAGAAGAAAAAGUGCAUAUGCACAGAAAUAAACCCAAGAGAUGAGACAGAAUGUUAGCAAUGGCUAUAUUAAAGGGAUGUGAGAUUGUGGGUUAGUACAAUUUUAUUACCUAUAUGUUUCUGUGUUUUAUAAUAGUCGACAUCCAAUAUGUGUUACUUUAGUAAUUGUUUUAAUAAAUUAAUUUCAUGAAAACGAGAAUACUUAUAUGUUUAACAAGCUAUAAUAUAAAGCACCGAUUCUUUG
ensembl:antisense